rnacentral:sRNA from 1 species
CUUGGAUACAAUCAAAGCUUUACAGCCAUCCAGAAAGUCUCCAGUUCAGAUCCCUUCCCAGCUUACAGAACAAGAUCUUGUUAUUGACCCACUUGUUGUCUUAAGGUGUGAUGAGAGAGUGUUCAGAUGUGCUCCAAUUCUGGAAAUCCUUCUUCGGAUUCUCUCAGCAUACACUCAGGCCUCCAGGGUCUAUUUGAACACACAUGUCCUGGAUGCUGUGGAGACGGACAAGGAGAAAGAUCGCUUAGAACUUAAAGUUGCACUCCUAGCAGCCCAAGAAAGUGCCAUAGUGCAGAUUUUGUUGGAAGUUUGUUUACCCCUGGAGAAUGAAAAG